rnacentral:lncRNA from 1 species
GGAUAUGAAGUAGACAUUAAUCAAAUUGAUGUUUAUUAUAAAAAGCGGUGUGUAACUGUAAGUAUAUUUUAUUUAGAGAAGACACUUGUUUAUCAGGCAUUAAUCAAUUUAAUAUUAAUUUAUUUUCAAAAAUAUGCAAUGAAGGAAAUCAUCACGACUAACGUAUAAUUUAUGUUAUCAUGAACCUAACACAACUUGAACAGAUAGAAAUGGAGUUAUAACGUGGAAUCUAUGUGUUAAAUGAGGUUGUAGGGGCCUGAACAUAAUUAACCGCAUACUUCAGGGGUUAGUAUAAAUUCCCGAGACACAUGAAACGAUGCUCGCGAAUUGGACAAAGCUUAGGGUUAGAUCUAUAAAACAACAGGGGCUGGACUAGAUCUACGUAAACUAAAAUUCCUGGGGGUUAUCUGCAAGUUCGCAAAGACACAAAGAAAGAAGGAAAAGAUUACAGAGUUCUCCAGGGGGCUACACGCAAAACUGGCGGGUCAUCUUCUUCCUCCCGCCGAUUGGAUCGGCCAUGGCCUAGGCCAAACUACCAGCGGCGACGGCCGGGGGGGCAACGCAGGGCGGCGCCUGGCGGCGGAACUCGGCAGCUCGGCUCAGCCGGCGGCGUGGAACAGGGGGGCGCAGGGGCUAUGGCCGGCCUGGGCGCGGCACAAAGCGGAGCUUUGACAGCGGCGGAUGGGCCUUCACGCGGUGGCGUUGCUCCGACGGAGGAACGGCCACGGGAACCGGCGAAGCAACGCGGUUCGGUGAGGGGGAUCUUCCGGUGCUGCUGGCUCGCUCCAGUUGAGGACGGAGGCGGCGAAUCAGAUCGAAAAACCGCUGGCGGCCUCUAGGCCAUGGCGGCGCAGCUCCUCGCGGCGGCGCGUGCGGCACGAGCGAGGAAGGGCGGCGACAAUGGGAGCAGCAGCAGGCGGCGCCAGGGGCUCGGUUAAAUAGGCGCGGAGCCCUAGGGGCGCACGCACGCAGAGGGUAAAGAGGCCGGUGGCGCCAUGCUUGCCUCCGCCGGUGCUGCUGGGCCCAGAUGGGCUUUCACAGGUCGGAGCGAGCCUGCAGCUGGGC